GUUGGGAAUAUUGGACAAUGGGCAAACGCCUGAUCCAGCAAUCCCGCGUGAGUGAUGAAGGCCUUCGGGUCGUAAAGCUCUUUUAGUAGGGACGAAGGGAAACUUGACGGUACCUACAGAAAAAGCACCGGCUAACUCUGUGCCAGCAGCCGCGGUAAUACAGAGGGUGCAAGCGUUGUUCGGAAUCAUUGGGCGUAAAGCGCGAGUAGGCGGUCUCUUAAGUCUGAUGUGAAAGCCCAGGGCUUAACCCUGGAAGUGCAUUGGAUACUGAGAGACUAGAGGGUGAGAGAGGAGAGUGGAAUUCAUGGUGUAGGGGUGAAAUCCGUAGAUAUCAUGAGGAACAUCAGUGGCGAAGGCGGCUCUCUGGUUCAUUUCUGACGCUCAGACGCGAAAGCAUGGGGAGCAAACAGGAUUAGAAACCCCUGUAGUCC
rnacentral:rRNA from 1 species